rnacentral:rRNA from 1 species
GACGAACGCUGGCGGCGUGCUUAACACAUGCCAGUCGAACGGUGAAGCGCCUUCCUUUUUGGUGGGUGUGGAUGAGUGGCGAACGGGUGAGUAACACGUGAGUAACCUUCCCCCUUCUUCUGGAUAACCGCAUGAAAGUGUGGCUAAUACGGGAUAUUCUGGUUCUGUCGCAUGAUGGGUCUGGGAAAGAUAUUGUUUCGGUGGGGGAUGGGCUCGCGGCCUAUCAGCUUGUUGGUGGGGUGAUGGCCUACCAGGGCGGUGACGGGUAGCCGGCCUGAGAGGGUGGACGGCCACACUGGGACUGAGACACGGCCGAGACUCCUACGGGAGGCAGCAGUGGGGAAUAUUGCACAAUGGGCGCAAGCCUGAUGCAGCGACGCCGCGUAAGGGAUGGAGGCCUUCGGGUUGUGAACCUCUUUCGCCAGUGAAGCAGGCCUGCCUCGUUUGUGGGUGGGUUGACGGUAGCUGGAUAAGAAGCGCCGGCUAACUACGUG